GUUUUGGUUUAGAUCUGGCAUUUGAGUAUACAAAUGAUUUGUCUUUUUAGCAUCACUUGGUUAUUUUUACAUAUUUGUAGUGAGUGGGACACGUGUUGAGUCUCUGGAUGCUAUCUGCUUUUUUGUCCGUAGAUCCUGAUUUUGACUCUGGCUUGUAGAGGCUCUAGCUGUUUCCAGUCUGUGGUUCCCUGUCAACAGCGGCAGCAGCCCUCCAGCCCCUUCUCCCCUCAUCUGCAGCCCAGCAUCAGAUCCUGAUUCGGACUCUGGCUUGUAGAGGCUCUAGCUGUUUACAGUCUGUUGUUCCCUGCUAACAGCGGCAGUAGCCCUCCAGCCCACUGAGAGUUCUUGCUGAAGCCCCUCAGCUGCAGCCCAGCAUCAGAUCCUGAUUUUGACUCUGGCUUGUAGAGGCUCUAGCUGUUUCCAGUCUGUGGUUCCCUGUCAACAGCGGCAGCAGCCCUCCAGCCCC